UCGAUAACAUCAAAGAGUUUAGCUUCGUCUUCUCGCUCACCUUCUCCAUUAACAUGUUUCGUAUCCAUCAUCAACUCUAUCUCGCGCCAAAGAUUUUAACUUCUUCUCCCUCACAUCUUCCAUGAAAACUCCAGAACUCAACUUAUAGAUUGCUUUCAAAAAAUAAAUCAAUCGAUCUAUUUUUAAUUGGAGAAUGGUGGUUCAGAGAUUAUCUAAUUAGUUUCAAUUUGGUUGAUUUUUCAUCUUCUUCAUAAGGUUCAAUUAUUGAAACAGAUGGAAACCACACGCCCAUGCUUUGUAAUUCGGAGACAAAACAUGUGUGAAGAAAGGUUGGUCGCUGAAUGAGAAAGGAACCCUGUUCCACAAAGAAGCCACCGGCUAAAUAUGACGGAGGAGCAGAUGUCAAUAGAACAUGAGUGUCAUCGUAAUCAAUAUAGAGCUGCCAAAGAAAAGUUGAACCUUCAUUGGAGAAUGUCGAUGAACAUUCCUUUGGGUUUAUGGAAUUGAGACCAACACAUAGAGAAAAUACUUGAAGUUUACUAGAUUGGAAUCGAUGGCUAGAGCUCCAACAGUUUUAUGCGACAUGAUGUGGUAUGUGAAUGUAUGUCCAGUCGUCGGAAUCUGACCAGGAAAUGGAAGCUGAAGAGACGCUGCAGCUGCUGGUCAUCAUAUCCUAAUGCGAAAAUGCAAUGAUUGUCAGACUUUGUUGGGGCUCGAAGAAGAUAGAGAAACAGUAGUCCGCAACUUAUGAUCUGAUAUAAGUCGCAAAGAUAAAUUUGAAUUUAUGCAUGAUUUCUAUAUUUUUGAGUUUGCAGAGCAAGUGAAUCAAGAGUAGGGUUCUGCAUUUUUUACUUGGCAGUCGUCUGUAUAUGGUGAGCAGAGCUAGGAAGAUUGGUGAGUUCUCAAUGCAGGGUAUUAGGCUAAGGCUUAGAUGCAAAACCUACAAUUGUAUGUUCACAUGGUGUGGGGUGUUAAGGUUAAGGAUGUAGAAUACACAACUCAUUCGACCAGUAGCAAUGACCGUAUAUAAUUUUGCUGUUCUAUUUGACUGUACGAUUAUAACUAAUUUUGUUUCA